UAGAGUUUGAUCAUGGCUCAGGAUGAACGCUGGCGGCGUGCUUAACACAUGCAAGUCGAACGGAGUCAUCAUUUUUGAAGCAAUUAGCUUGCUAAGAGUGGAAAUGUUGAUGACUUAGUGGCGGACGGGUGAGUAACGCGUGGGUAACCUGCCAUAUACAGGGGGAUAACACUUAGAAAUAGGUGCUAAUACCGCAUAAGCGCACAGUUUUGCAUGAGACAGUGUGAAAAACUACGGUGGUAUAUGAUGGACCCGCGUCUGAUUAGCUGGUUGGUGGGGUAACGGCCCACCAAGGCGACGAUCAGUAGCCGGCCUGAGAGGGUGGACGGCCACAUUGGGACUGAGACACGGCCCAAACUCCUACGGGAGGCAGCAGUGGGGAAUAUUGGACAAUGGGGGAAACCCUGAUCCAGCGACGCCGCGUGAGUGAAGAAGUAUUUCGGUAUGUAAAGCUCUAUCAGCAGGGAAGAAAAAAAUGACGGUACCUGACUAAGAAGCCCCGGCUAACUACGUGCCAGCAGCCGCGGUAAUACGUAGGGGGCAAGCGUUAUCCGGAUUUACUGGGUGUAAAGGGAGCGUAGACGGCAGGGCAAGUCUGAUGUGAAAGGUCGGGGCCCAACCCCGGGACUGCAUUGGAAACUGUCCGGCUGGAGUACAGGAGAGGUAAGUGGAAUUCCUAGUGUAGCGGUGAAAUGCGUAGAUAUUAGGAGGAACACCAGUGGCGAAGGCGGCUUACUGGACUGUAACUGACGUUGAGGCUCGAAAGCGUGGGGAGCAAACAGGAUUAGAUACCCUGGUAGUCCACGCCGUAAACGAUGAUUACUAGGUGUCGGUGGGCAUGGGCCCAUCGGUGCCGCAGCCAACGCAAUAAGUAAUCCACCUGGGGAGU
rnacentral:rRNA from 1 species